rnacentral:rRNA from 1 species
UAGUUUGAUCCUGGCUCAGGAUGAAGAAAAAGAUAGGCUUAUCACAUGCAAGUCGAGGGGCAGCAUGAUCUUAACUAUGCUAAGGUCGAUGGCGACCGGCGCACGGGUGCGUAACGCGUAUGCAACUUGCCUUACAGAGGGGGAUAACCCGUUGAAAGACGGACUAAAACCGCAUACACUUGUAUUAUUGCAUGAUAUUACAAGGAAAUAUUUAUAGCUGUAAGAUAGGCAUGCGUCCCAUUAGCUUGUUGGUGAGGUAACGGCUCACCAAGGCGACGAUGGGUAGGGGAACUGAGAGGUUUAUCCCCCACACUGGUACUGAGACACGUACCAGACUCCUACGGGAGGCAGCAGUGAGGAAUAUUGGUCAAUGGGCGAGAGCCUGAACCAGCCAAGUCGCGUGAAGGAAGACUGUCCUAAGGAUUGUAAACUUCUUUUAUACGGGAAUAACGGGCGAUACGAGUAUUGCAUUGAAUGUACCGUAAGAAUAAGCAUCGGCUAACUCCGUGCCAGCAGCCGCGGUAAUACGGAGGAUGCGAGCGUUAUCCGGAUUUAUUGGGUUUAAGGGGUGCGUAGGUUGUUCGGUAAGUCAGCGGUGAAACCUGAGCGCUCAACGUUCAGCCUGCCGUUGAUACUGCCGGGUUUGAGUUCAGUGGCGGCAGGCGGAAUUCCGUGGUGUAGCGGUGAAUUGCAUAGAUAUCAC